rnacentral:tRNA from 1 species
AGGAUUAUAAUUUACUUAAAAUAAUUAAUUUGCAAUUAAUAAAAAUUGUUCUUAUCAAUUAAUCUUA